GACCUUACCUGACUUUACUUUUGUUUUGUUUUUUUUUUGUGUUUUGUUUUUUCGCGUCGGGGGUACCUAUAGCCUGUGAUGAUGCUACGCAGUGUAUACGUCUGUAUACAAAUAAAAUAUAAUGUAUAAUGCUGUUCAUAUUGCCGGACUUUAGAUAUGUCCAAACUCACAAGGACGGAAUUAUCUAUGUAUAUAUGUAUUGAUGUUAGGAAAUGUGAACUUUGAUAUGAUGUUUACUUAUUAAGCGAGACGAGUAGUUUCAAAAGCUGCUAGUUAGGCCUAUAAAGCUUUACUUUGCCUUAAUUACCAAGAAUAAAGCUUUAUAGACCAAAUCUAGAAGUUUUUGCAAC
rnacentral:lncRNA from 1 species